rnacentral:tRNA from 1 species
GGGGUUAUGGCUCAGAGGAAAGAGUGCUCGCCUCGCAUGCGUGAGGCACUGGGUUCGAUCCUUAGCACCA